rnacentral:tRNA from 1 species
AAAAAUGGAGAUUAAUUUCCCUCCCUAAGAC